GGGGUUGUGGCUCAGUGGUAGAGCGCUCACCUAGCAGGUGUGAGGUGCUGGGUUGGAUCCUCAGCACCAUUA
rfam:Ictidomys tridecemlineatus contig003333, whole genome shotgun sequence.